GGCUUUCUGGUAUGGCGCGGCCUUUGUCUCUUGCUGCCGCUGGAGCUCCAGAUCUCUUGUUCACUGCUCUGUGUUCUCUGCUCAUAGAGGCCCAGCCUCUGAGGCCCUUUGACCUGCAGGUAUUGGGAGAUCCACAGCCAAGAGCCAGGACCCCCUAGAAGUCUAGAAAUGAACUGAUCACCUGUCUGGAGCAAGGAAAAAAACCUCUGACCGUGAAGAGACAUGAGAUGAUUGCCAAACCCCCAGUUAUUUGUUCUCAUUUUGCCCAAGAACUUUGGCUAGAGCAGAACAUAAAAGAUUCUUUUCAAAAAGUGAUACUGAGAAGAUAUAAAAAAUGUGGACAUGGCAAUUUACAGUUAAAAAAAGGAUGUGAAAGUGUGGAUGAGUGUAAGGUGCAAAAAAGAGGUUAUAAUGGGCUUAACCAAUGCUUGACAACUACCCAUUGCAAAAUAUUUCAAUGUGAUAAAUAUGUGAAAGUCUUUCAUCAAUUUUCAAAUUCAAACAGACAGAAGACGUACUGUAAAAAAACCUUUGAAACAUAUAGAAUGUGGCAAAUCUUUUAACCAGUCCUCAACCCUUACUACACAUAAGAAAAUUCAUACUGGAGAGAAACCCUACAAAUGUGAAGAAUGUGGCAAAGACUUUAACUGGUACUCAACCUUUACUACAGAUAAGAUAACUCAUACUGGAGAGAAACCCUAAAAAUGUGAAGAAUGUGGCAAAGCCUUUAAGUACUCCUGUACCCUUACUACACAUAAGAUAAUUCAUACUGGAGAGAAAUCCCACAAAUGUGAGGAGUGUGGCAAAGCCUUUAACUGGUCCUCACAGCUUGCUAUUCAUAAGAUAACUCAUACUGGAGAGCAACCCUACAAACGUAAAGAAUGCAGCAAAGCUUUUAACCAUCCCACAACCCCUUCUUCACAUAAGAAAACUCAUACUGGAGAGAAACCAUGCAAGUGUGAUAAAUGUGGCAAAGCCUUUAUUUUUUCCUCAACCCUUAGUAAACAUGAGAAGAUUCAUACUGGAGAGAAACCCUACAAAUGUGAAGAAUGUGGCAAAGCCUUCAGAUGGUCCUCACACCUAACUACACAUAAGAUAACUCAUACUGGAGAGAAACCCUACAAAUGUGAAGAAUGUGGCAAUGGCUUUAAGUAUUCCUCUACGCUUACUGAACAUAAGAUAAUCCAUACUGGAGAGAAAUCCUACAAAUGUGAAGAGUGUGGCAAAGCCUUUAACUGGCCCUCACAGCUUGCUAUUCAUAAGAUAACUCAUACUGGAGAGCAACCCUACAAAUGUAAAGAAUGUGGCAAAGCUUUUAAACAUCCUGCAACCCUUUCUUCACAUAACAAAACUCAUACUGGAGAGAAACCAUACAAGUGUGAUAAAUGUGGCAAAGCCUUUAUUUCAUCCUCAACCCUUAGUAAACAUGAGAAGAUUCAUACUGGAGAGAAACCCUACAAAUGUGAAGAAUAUGGCAAAGCUUUCACCCAUUCCUCACACCUUACUAGGCAUAAGAAAAUUCAUGCUGGAGAGAAACCAUACAAGUGUGAUAAAUGUGGCACAGCCUUUAUUUUAUCCUCAACCCUUAGUGAACAUGAGAAGAUUCAUACUGGAGAGAAACUCUACAAAUGUGAAGAAUGUGGCAAAGCCUUCAACCAUUUUUCACACCUUACUAUACAUAAGACAAUUCAUACUGGAGAGAAAUGCUAUAAAUGGUAUAAAAACCUUUACAUGGUCCUCAAGCCCCCAUAAACAUAGGAGAACUCAUACUGGAGAGAAACCUUACAAAUGUGAAGAAUGUGGCAAAGCCUUUACUGCAUCCUCAACUCUAAGUGAAUAUAAGACAAUUCAUACUGGAGAGAAACCUUGCAAAUGUGAAGAAUGUGGCAAAGCUUUUAACUGGUCCUCAGACUUCAAUAAACAUAAGAGAAUUCAUAGUGGACAGAAACCAAUACUGUAACAAAGCUUUAUUUAUUUAUUUAUCUAUUUAUUUAUUUAUUUAUUUAUUUAUUUUUGAGAUGGAGUUUCACUCUUGUUGUCCAGGCUGGAGUGCAAUGGCGCAAUCUUGGCUCACCUUCACCUCCAUCUCCCAGGUUCAAGCGAUUCUCCUGCCACAGCCUUCCUGUGUAGCUAAGAUUACAGGCAUGCACCACCACACCUGGCUAAUUUUGUAUUUUUAGUACAGAUGGGGUUUCUCCAUGUUGGUUAGGCUGGUCUUCAGCUGCCAACCUCAAGUGAUCCACCCAUCUCAGCCUCCCAAAUUGCCAGGAUUACAGGCACAAGCCACUGCACCAGGCUGACAAACCUCUUUGUAAGGAAGUUCUCAACACUUAUUACACAUAAUUCAUACUGGACAGAAACCCUACAGGUGUGAAGAAUUUGGCAAAGCCUAUAACAAGUUCUCAAUUUUUUUUUUCUUUUUUUGAGAUGCAGUUUCACUAUUGUGACCCAGGCUGGAGUGCAAUGGCAUGAUCUUGGCUCACUGCAACCUUCGUCUCCUGGGUAGCUGGGAUUACAGGUACCCACAAUGACACCCAGCUAAUUUUUGUAGUUUUAGUAGAGAUGGGGUUUUGCCAUAUUUGCCAGGCUCGUCUCAAACUCCUGACUUCAGUUGAUCCACCCACUUUGGCCUCCUAAAGUGCUGGGAUUACAGGCAUGAGCCUCCAUUCCUAGCCAUAAGUUCUCAAUUCUUAAGAGACAUGGCAAUAAUUCAUGCUGAAGAGGAACUCUACAAACCUGAAAGAUGUGACAGUGCUGUUCCCAACACCUCCAACGUUUCUAUACAUAAAAAAAUUAUACUAGUGUGAAACUGUAGAAAAGUAUAAAAUGUGACAAAGCCUUUAUUUGGUUGCCACACUUGAUAAAUAUAAAAAUAAAAAAUUGUUUAAAAUUAUUUGUAUAUAGCUUUAAAAGGAGAUUUUUGGAAGCAUUGUAAUUACAUUAAAAGUAUACUUGUUUUCUUGAAAAAAAGUUUUUCAAAAGUGAAUAAUGAUGUCAUACAGCUUUCAAAUUACUUUAUGCUGUUAUUUUAUUCCUAUUCACAUGUGAAAACAUAUGAGCAAUUUUUGCUGCAUCAGAGAUACCAGAGAUUCUUUUUUUAUUGGGCAUUAUUUAUAACCUUUUCUAUAAAAGUAAGGACACUAAAAUGUAAGAUGCAUGAUGAAAAGAUAAGUGGAGAGGCUCAUUGUAGUUAACCUAUAUUAAGUAAUGUAUAAGCUAGGUGUUCAGACUAUUUUCUACAUUAUGGUGGAAUUGUUAAUUAUAGUUAAAAGUAUAUUAAAAUAAGUAUAUUAUUAAUUGUACUUUUAUGUAAUAAAAUGCAGUAUAUUU
rnacentral:lncRNA from 1 species